AUACCAGCACCCCGAGUGGUCGGGACGAUUAUUGGGCCUAAAGCAUCCGUAGCCGGCCUUACAAGUCCUCCGUUAAAUCCAGCUGCUCAACAGAUGGGCUGCGGAGGAUACUAUAAGACUAGGAGGUAGGAGAGGCAAGCGGUACUCAGUGGGUAGGGGUAAAAUCCGUUGAUCCAUUGAAGACCACCAGUGGCGAAGGCGGCUUGCCAGAAUGCGCUCGACGGUGAGGGAUGAAAGCUGGGGGAGCAAACCGGAUUAGAUACCCGGGUAGUCCCAGCUGUAAACGAUGCAGACUCGGUGAUGGACUAGCUUUAUGCUGGUCCAGUGCCGCAGGGAAGCCGUUAAGUCUGCCGCCUGGGUAGUACGGUCGCAAGACUGAAACUUAAAUGAAUUGGCGGG
rnacentral:rRNA from 1 species